rnacentral:lncRNA from 1 species
AGAAGCUUCGCCAUGUGUGCUUCUUUCUCCCAGUUAACUUUGAUAACAUGGAAAAAAUGGGGCUGUAGAGAGGAUCUAACUGAGCAAACAGUAUUGUGUUGAAAAAGGAUUACAAUGAUAUUGCAUUAACUUGCACAAUGUGAAAAACAGUAAGAUUAUAAUAUAGGAAACAACAAAAUAAUUAGCAGACCACAGUGGAGAAGAGAGUGCACAAGACUCAGGGUCAUCUUGGUGAUCUGCUGCAGCAGUGUAAGAUCUUGUCAGGUUCCUGUGUCCUUUGGCUGUCCUGUGCUCACUGUCACGCCUCGGUGAGGAUGGAAUUCUUACAGAUGUUUGUUGAAGAAGGUGGUAAUCACAAUAGCUACCUGUAAUAUUCUUUAUCAACAGACAGGCACAGUUUCCUUGUUUCCUUUAGAGAAGGAAAGGAUAUCCAUCUCCAGACAACCAGAGGAAUACCUGCGUGGAUAAAUUACCAUGAGUCUUUCACAGGGGGAGAAGAUUCAUCCUGAAUGUCACUCCAUCGGAGAUGUGCCACGUGGGGGCUGUUCUGUAUCAUGCUUGUCAGAUAGAGGAGCUGAAUGCUAAAGGUGCCACGUGCCCAGCUCGGUGACGCAUAAAGAGUGCAAGAUUCGGGUCAGAAUUCAGCUUUUCAGUCUGUCAGAAUGGAGAUAAUGGAGUUUAGCCUUCUGAAUACAACUGCAAAUAUUUGCAGUAGCGUGGUUGGAAAUUGUGUGUCUGCUGAACAAUAGGCCCAGUGCAAUGCACCAAUAGAACAACUACCUGUGCAGCUGCAGUAUUUCACCCAAAGACUAUUUUGCAGAAUUGAAAAAUAAUCAUUUGAAAAAACAAAACAAAAAAAACAAUAUUCACCUGCAUCUUCCCAGAAGGGAAGAAAGUGCUUGCUGAAGUAUGAAGUGUGUCCUGUUAAGAAGUAUGUUUAUUUAAGUCUGAAGUAUGUCUGGUCGAGAGGUCACUUCUCAGAUCUAAUCUGUAUUCCAGUGAGUGCUCUGUUCUAGGGGAGACAAUGAAUUUUUUUUCUCAGUUGUUCUGUCCUAUUUCCCUUUCCAGUUCACUUCAUU